rnacentral:lncRNA from 1 species
GAUGCCCACACCUGCUGGUCUCACCGCUAGGGCCUGGGCAUCACAGGCAGGGGGAAUGGGGAGGGGACGGUAGCGUCAGCCUACACCCACACGCAGUUUCCUGAUAAAAGGUCCUUUGGAAACUUUGAUUCUCUUCUCACCAAGUUGAACGGAGAUGUGUUCCCAUAGUAAGAGUGAGGCCCCUGCAUUUGCUGCCCUCGGUUUUCCCAACUAACACCAGGGCCUCCCCCCUGUACCCCAUUCAUAUGCCUCAGAAGCUGACAAUGACUGUUGGGCUUUUCCAAUGAAUACCAGAACACCAUUUCCUGCAGCCUGAAAAGAAGACAGUAUAAUUGUUUGGCAGCAAGAGACAGGAUCUCGCUGCGUUGCUCAGACUGGUCUCGAACUCCUGGGCUUAAGGGAUUCUCCUGCCUCAAUCACAGCCUCCCAAGUAGCUGAGAUUAAAAGUGCUCACCACCGUGCCAGCGAGUUCAGUUUUUGAGCCAGGUGCGGUGGCUCAUGCCUGUAAUGCCAGCACUUUGGACAGCCAAGGCUGGUGAGAUCACUUGAAGCCAGGAGUUCAAGACCAGCCUGGGCAACAUGUUGAAACCCCAUCUCUACUAAAAAUACAAAAAUUAGCCAGGUGCAGUGGCACAUGCCUGUAGUCCCAGCUACUGGAGAAGCAAAGGCAGGAGGAUUUCUUGAGCCCAGGAGGUGGAGGUGUCAGUGAGCUGAGAUCAAGCGACUGCACCCCAGCCUGGGUGACAGAGUGAAACCCUGUCUCUAAAUAAAUAAAUAAAUAUAUAAAACUAAAUAA